UGGAGAUGCUUCUGCGGAGUGGGAGGGCAGAAAGCAGGUUCACUGAAAAAAAUCUUUUUUUGAUCCUCGAAAGCAGAGAAACACAUCCCGAAUAUCUUUCCUGUGGUGCCUGAGCCUCCGACUUUAAAUGAAGCAAGAACAUAGUCAAGGAAACCACUGUUGAUCACAAAGACUUUGAGAAAAGGACAUGCUCAAGUCCCACCUCCCACAAAGUAAGAGAUGCAAAGAUUGCCUCUGCUCCUGGGCCUGCUUUAUUCUGAGGGCUGAUGUGCUUGAGGAAGGAGCUGAAGGACAGGAAGAAUCCACAAAGAUCAAAAACUAAGAUGGAAAUAAGAAGAAAAUACUGGGAAAAAUACUACAA